rnacentral:rRNA from 1 species
AUGGAGUCGUCGCGGUCGCGGAAACGCACGCGUCAAGAGUUGGACAGCGCCGGCGACCCGCCGCCGGAGCGGGAGGUGGUAGCAAGGGGUGGCGCGUCGCCGCCUUGGCGGGAUGACGACCGCGACGGCCAUUACGUGUUUGAUCUCGGCGAGAACUUGACCCGUCGGUAUAAAAUCUUGAGCAAAAUGGGUGAAGGUACUUUUGGCCGAGUUUUGGAAUGCUGGGACCGUGAAACACGUGAAUAUGUUGCAAUAAAAGUUGUCAGAAGCAUCCGGAAGUACCGGGAUGCUGCAAUGAUUGAGAUCGAUGUGCUCAAUCGCCUUGCAGAAAAUGAGAGAUACAGAUCCCUCUGUGUCCAAAUUCAAAGAUGGUUUGACUAUCGCAACCAUAUAUGCAUUGUAUUUGAGAAGCUUGGGCCAAGCUUGUAUGAUUUUCUAAAGAGAAAUAGAUACCAACCUUUCCCUGUGGAACUUGUGCGGGAGUUUGGACGACAACUGUUGGAAUCUGUAGCAUAUAUGCACGAAUUACGCCUUAUUCACACUGAUCUGAAGCCAGAAAACAUACUCCUCGUAUCUUCCGAAUAUAUAAAGGUUCCAAGUUCCAAGAAGAAUUCACAAGAUGAGAUACACUUCAAGUGCUUGCCAAAGUCCAGUGCCAUAAAGCUGAUAGAUUUUGGUAGUACCGCCUUUGAUAAUCAGGAACAUACCUCGAUUGUUUCUACGAGGCAUUACAGGGCACCUGAAAUAAUCUUAGGCUUAGGCUGGAGUUUGCCAUGUGAUAUUUGGAGUGUUGGUUGCAUCCUCGUUGAGCUAUGCUCGGGGGAGGCAUUGUUUCAGACACAUGAGAACCUGGAACACCUAGCAAUGAUGGAGAGGGUUUUGGGACCCGUACCAGAGCACAUGAUACGGAAGGCUAGUUCAUCAGCUCAGAAAUAUUUUAGGCGAGGGACACGUCUAAAUUGGCCUGAAGGUGCUGUUACAAGAGAAAGCAUCAGAGCAGUCAGAAAACUACACCGGCUAAAGGACUUGGUUGCGAGAAAUGCUGACCAUUCGAAGGCAUCACUGGCGGACUUGCUAUAUGGUCUUUUAAGGUUUGAGCCUUCAGAGCGCCUAACUGCCCAAGAGGCUCUAGACCAUCCAUUCUUCCGAAUUCCAGGUCCAACAUGA